AAAGACAAAUUGUUUGAUCUGGGUUUCACUGAAGCGCAAAACUCGAGACCCUAAAACAAAGACAAAAAACUUGUUCAAAAGCAACUAAAAUGGGACGGCCCAAGCCCAAGAUCAGUACCAUCAGAAACCGAAAAUUGAUGGACAAAUCGAAGUCAACCGGAGAUUUCGUUGCUUUCAAGCAGAAGAAAACCGGAUGCGAAAAAACAAGAAAAGCCGAUGAACGGAUGCAAGCUCUGAGUCAAUGUCGAGGGAGAAAACAACAACUGACGGACAGAAAACCAAAAAUUACGUCGCUCUCGGUGAAAGUGAGAAAUGCUAGGCCAAAAUUUGUGGAAAAUCGAAACGAAGCUGCCCGAAACGAUGAUGAAGCUGCUUCGUCUGCAUCUUGUUCGUGCGAAAUAUGUCAGAGGCCUGCAGAAGCAAACAUCGACAAUCCCUAUGAUACCGAAGAGGAACUCGCGGAAGCCGUUGCUAAAAUCGAACGAGCAUUACCGUCGUCGCCGCGUAUGCGCAAAGCCGUUAUAAUGGAACUAUUUCGCAGUUUAGAUGAAGAAACCCAACAAGAAAUCAUCGCAAACUGGGCGGCAGAGGAAUUGCACGAGAUUCACCGAUUCUAUCACAGAGACGACAUCGUCUGUCACCAGCGAACGAGCCAACCGCUGUCGUUGAUGGUUCAACUGGUCAAACGGAGCCCGUACGACAAUUAGUUUGUACGCUGAAUCAAGCCUAUGCGCUGUAUAUCAGCGAAAAGACAGGCACCACCAUCACUUUGGCCGAAUUCUGUUCGUUGAGACCUCCCCAUGUCACUCUAUGCAGUAUCAGAAUGCUUCAAAUGGAUUUGAAUAGUCAGUGAGAAGCACAUGACAGUUGAUGGAUUAUAGCAGUUUAUGGAGAAAAAACUGCGAUCUAAAUCCAACUAAGAAGCAACAUUAAACUUUUUGAUUAAUAAAAACACUCAGGUCGCUAAAUUC